rnacentral:rRNA from 1 species
AGAGUUUGAUCCUGGCUCAGAUUGAACGCUGGCGGCAGGCCCAACACAUGCAAGUCGAACGGUAACAGGAAACAGCUUGCUGUUUCGCCGACGAGUGGCGGACGGGUGAGUAAUGUCUGGGAAACUGCCUGAUGGAGGGGGAUAACUACUGGAAACGGUAGCUAAUACCGCAUAACGUCGCAAGACCAAAGAGGGGGACCCUCGGGCCUCUUGCCAUCGGAUGUGCCCAGAUGGGAUUAGCUAGUAGGUGGGGUAACGGCUCACCUAGGCGACGAUCCCUAGCUGGUCUGAGAGGAUGACCAGCCACACUGGAACUGAGACACGGUCCAGACUCCUACGGGAGGCAGCAGUGGGGAAUAUUGCACAAUGGGCGCAAGCCUGAUGCAGCCGUGCCGCGUGUAUGAAGAAGGCCUUCGGGUUGUAAAGUACUUUCAGCGGGGAUGAAGGGAGUAAAGUUAAU